rnacentral:misc_RNA from 1 species
GGAAAAGACUACGUUUUAAAUGCUAUUCAGAUGGUUUAUAGUAAUUCUUUAUGUUGCAAAGAGGGGAGAGCUAUUAAGCGCAUCUCCCAUCAACCAUUAGCUUUCAAUUUUGUUGAGUUGCCAUCAGAUGAAGUUGAAAGAUAACCCUUACAAGUGCACUUUAUUAUGCUGCUGGAAGAGUACAGGAGAAGAAACGGUCGUGUUCGAAGCGAUGAAAUUUUAUUUCUUUACAGCCUGUGCCAAGAAAUGGUCAGAGAAAUUUGAAUGACACGAGGAUAACAAGCGUGCAGAAUGCUAAUGAAUACAGAUACCAAAAUACAACAAAAAAUUUAUUCAAUUUAUGCCCUCUAAUUUGCUUAAAAUUACAGCAGUACAAUUCUAUUUAGUGUGUAUUCAUAGUUUUGUAAUCAAGUAGGGUUGCAGGCAUCGGAGUAGCUGAACUUCUGUUGCAUUUGCUGCUUUCUUCUCCACGAUCAGUUACACUAGAUGGACGUGCAAUGUAAACUUUUCUUAGCUUCCAUAAAGAUUUCAAGAAUUGCAUAGUUUCCUCCUGAAUGAAAGAAUGUCUUUCUGAAUUUUUUUUCAAACAAAGAAACCCGAAAAAGAUGCCAGCUUAAAGUACAAGAGAUGUAAUCUCAAAUAAAAUACAUGAACUUUCAGUCACUCUUUCAGAAGUUCCUCAUAACUGCUGGGACUAGGCCUUCAAACAAAACCUAACAUAAAAUAUUUCAGUACAAAAUUUGAUGCCUAUUAACAUUGAAUAAAGCAUCUUCAGGAAGGCAUUCAUCAAAUACUGAACACUAUCGUUUCGUUCCAAACUCAUACAGAGAAUAAGAUUAACUGGAUAGGUUAACAAAUCUAGGUCAGAUUACCGAUUGUAUAAUGGAAUGACCACACAUGCAUAUGCUUUCUAGAAAUAUAUAAUAGGAAAGGGCAUUUUUAUUAAGAUAACAGAGUUCGCAACAUGAAUAACAAGUCAUUAAGUAUUUCCCAUAUCUCAACUACAGAGGCUAUUCCAUCUCUCAAUCUCUGUCUACAUUUAUGCCAUGCCCCCGCUUGUUGCUGUCCUGAUUAUCUGGAAUAGAGAUGAUCCAAUGACAACAAAUAUGAAGAAUCCAAGGAGAACAGGGCCAACAGGAUAGUCCUUUCCCUUUUUAGUAGUUGUUUCAGGAACAGCUCCUCUCUUAGUAAUGUUCUUCUCGAACUUCUCAACUUUCCUAUCAGCAAGGCGCCUUGAUGUAGUCAUGGUUACGGGGAGAUCUGGUAGCCGGAGCUAGAAAACUUAAUGCGAUAUUAGAGAUUGAUACCGUUUCUUCCCUCUCCGGCGAAUUCGCUCUUCCACUCGCUGUCUACCGAGUUCCGAUCUGUGCCUGAUAAUCUGAAGACUAGACCAAUUUCUCCCCUUGCUUUUUUUUUUU